rnacentral:rRNA from 1 species
ACGAACGCUGGCGGCGUGCUUCACACCUGCAAGUCGAACGAUGAAGAAGAGAAACGCGAACUUCGGUUCAAAUUUCACUUCGGAUUAGUGGCAGACGGGUGAGUAACGCGUGAGCAACCUACCUCUUACAAAGGGAUAGCCUCGGGAAACCGUGAUUAAUACCAUAUGACACAUUCAUAAGGCAUCUUAAGAAUGUUAAAGCUACGGCGGUAAGAGAUGGGCUCGCGUCCCAUUAGCUAGUUGGUGAGGUAACGGCCCACCAAGGCGACGAUGGGUAACCGGCCUGAGAGGGUGAACGGUCACAUUGGAACUGAGACACGGUCCAAACUCCUACGGGAGGCAGCAGUGGGGAAUAUUGCACAAUGGAGGGAACUCUGAUGCAGCGACGCCGCGUGAGCGAUGAAGGAAUUCGUUUCGUAAAGCUCUGUUCUAUGGGAAGAAAAGGACUGUACCAUAGGAGAAAGCCCCGGCUAAAUACGUG